rnacentral:tRNA from 1 species
GGGUGAUUAGCGCAGUUGGGAGAGCAUCGCCCUUACAAGGCGAGGGUCACAGGUUCAAGUCCAGUAUCACCCACCA